UGGGGAAUAUUGGACAAUGGGCGCAAGCCUGAUCCAGCAAUGCCGCGUGUGUGAAGAAGGCCUUCGGGUUGUAAAGCACUUUUAUCAGGAGCGAAACGCUGUUGGCUAAUACCCGGCGGAACUGACGGUACCUGAGGAAUAAGCACCGGCUAACUUCGUGCCAGCAGCCGCGGUAAUACGAAGGGUGCAAGCGUUAAUCGGAAUUACUGGGCGUAAAGCGUGCGUAGGCGGUUUCUUAAGUCUGCUGUGAAAUCCCCGGGCUCAACCUGGGAAUGGCAGUGGAUACUGGGAGGCUAGAGUGUGUCAGAGGGUGGUGGAAUUCCCGGUGUAGCGGUGAAAUGCGUAGAGAUCGGGAGGAACAUCAGUGGCGAAGGCGGCCACCUGGGACAACACUGACGCUGAGGCACGAAAGCGUGGGGAGCAAACAGGAUUAGAUACCCUGGUAGUCCACGCCCUAAACGAUGCGAACUGGAUGUUGGUCUCAACUCGGAGAUCAGUGUCGAAGCUAACGCGUUAAGUUCGCCGCCUGGGGAGUACGGUCGCAAGACUGAAACUUAAAUGAAUUGAC
rnacentral:rRNA from 1 species